ACUAGUGUAGCAAAGUGGUUAAAUGCGCGUGACUUAAGAUCUCGUCCUUAAUGGUUCGUGGGUUCGAAUCCCAUCGCUAGUA
rnacentral:tRNA from 1 species